CACAAUGUUUUGGUUGAUAUACCCUCCAGCCUUCAUCAAGUGUCUUGGGGAAAUUUCAAAUCUGGUUUCUCAUUCUGAAGGUAUUUUUUGAUGUUGUUGUUAUUAUUAUUAUUUGGGUCACUGCCAGAAAUCGAACUCGUAAUCUUGGGGUCAGUUCCCCGCACCCUUAACUACUACAC